rnacentral:rRNA from 1 species
UACGUAGGUGGCAAGCGUUGUCCGGAUUUACUGGGCGUAAAGAGCGCGCAGGCGGUCGUUCAAGUCGCGUGUGAAAGCCCCCGGCUCAACUGGGGAGGGUCACGCGAUACUGAUCGACUCGAAGGCAGGAGAGGGUAGUGGAAUUCCCGGUGUAGUGGUGAAAUGCGCAGAGAUCGGGAGGAACACCCGUAGCGAAGGCGGCACUCUGGGCCGGUACUGACGCUGAGGAGCGAAAGCGUGGGGAGCAAACAGG